rnacentral:rRNA from 1 species
AACUCCUAGCGGUGGAUCUCUCAGCUUGUGUGUCGAAAACGAACACAGCUAGCUGUGGGAACUAAUGUGAAUUGCAGGACACACUGAUCAUCGACACUUCGAGCGCACCUUGCGGCCCCAACUUCCUUCUGGGGUUAUGUCUGUCUGAGGGUCA